rnacentral:tRNA from 1 species
CUGGGAGUGGCUCAGUGGCGAGAGCACCGCGCUGUAGACGCGGCACCCACAGGGUAAACACCGCAGGUUCGACUCCUGCCUCCCAGACCA